GACGAACGCUGGCGGCGUGCUUAACACAUGCAAGUCGAACGGAUCAAGGGAGCUUGCUUCCUUGGUUAGUGGCGAACGGGUGAGUAACACGUGAGCAAUCUGCCCCUGACUCUGGGAGUAACUGCGGGAAACGUAGUAGCUAAUACCGGAUACGACGCGCGAAGGCAUCUUCUGCGCGUGGAAAGAAAUUUGGUUCAGGGAGUGAGCUCGCGGCCUAUCAGCAGUUGGUGAGGUAACGGCCCACCAAGGCGACGACGGGUAGCCGGCCUGAGAGGGUGACCGGCCACACUGGGACGUGAGACACGGCCCACGACUCCUACGGGAGGCAGCAGUGGGGGAAGUAAUUGCACAAAUGGGCGGGAAGCCUGAUGCAGCAACGCCGCGUGAGGGACGACGGCCU
rnacentral:rRNA from 1 species